rnacentral:rRNA from 1 species
CCUACGGUAUGCAGCAGUCGAGAAUCAUUCACAAUGGGGGAAACCCUGAUGGUGCGACGCCGCGUGGGGGAAUGAAGGUCUUCGGAUUGUAAACCCCUGUCAUGUGGGAGCAAAUUAAAAAGAUAGUACCACAAGAGGAAGAGACGGCUAACUCUGUGCCAGCAGCCGCGGUAAUACAGAGGUCUCAAGCGUUGUGCGGAAUCACUGGGCGUAAAGCGUGCGUAGGCUGUUUCGUAAGUCGUGUGUGAAAGGCGCGGGCUCAACCCGCGGACGGCACAUGAUACUGCGAGACUAGAGUAAUGGAGGGGGAACCGGAAUUCUCGGUGUAGCAGUGAAAUGCGUAGAUAUCGAGAGGAACACUCGUGGCGAAGGCGGGUUCCUGGACAUUAACUGACGCUGAGGCACGAAGGCCAGGGGAGCGAAAGGGAUUAGAUACCCCGGUAGUC